ensembl:lncRNA
CGCUUUGGUCGGGGGGAUGAUUAGCCGUUUUGGGGCAGCGGAGUCCAUCCACAGUGACCUGGGGAGAAAUUUGGAAUCCCGUGUCUUUGCGGCUUUAUGUAGCAGGCUGGACAUACAGAAGACCCGUACUACCCCCCUGCACCCACAGAGUGACGGCUUGGUGGAGCGAUUUCAUCGCUGUAUGGAGCAGCAGCUGGCCAUUGUCUCGGCUGAGCAUCAGCGGGACUGGGACAAUCAUCUGCCUCUGGUGUUAAUGGCGUACAGAGUAUGCCAGGAGACUCCAGGACCGCCUGGAGACGGCUCACUCCUUCGCCAGGGGACAGCUGCUGAGCGCAGGGGUGAGGCAGAAAAGGAACUAUGAUGUGCGUUCCCGUGGCAGGCACUUUGAGGCUGGGGAGCUGGUCUGGACCUACAGCCCGAAAAGAAAGAAGGGAAGAUGCCCAAAGCUCGAUAGCGAGUGGAUCGGGCCAUGCAGGGUCCUUGAGAGGAUGGGGGAGGUGGUGUACAGGGUCCAGCUACCACCUCGAGGAAGGAAGGUGGCUCUCCACAGAGACCGGUUGGCCCCUUAUCGAGGCACCGCCACCCCUCAACCUACUCCAGCGAGCCCUGCAGCUCCCCGCACCGGUGCGAAGGGGCCCCGGACACGCACAGCUCAGUGUUCUGACCCUGGGUCCCCACCUAACCCUAUCCUUGUCUCCCCUCCCUGUUGAUCACCACAGUCAGCAACUUGGCCCCCAGCCCCGCCCCUCCCUUUCCCCCUGCCCGCCCCCGGGCCUGACACUCGAGGGCCCCUCUCGCCCCCAGGAGCUUCUCCCCAGCCCCCCGUGGCCCCAACGCGGCCUCGUAGGGAGAGGAGAGCGCCGGGUCGCUUCCGGGACUUUGUUUGUUCCCUCGAGGACGAGGAACUUUGAAGGGGGGAGGCAAUGUAGCGACCCUGGGACAAUUAAAUAGUUUGUGUGUUAUGUGUUACAUUAUAUUUCGUUGUCCGUUAUGCCAGUUGUUCUAUGUGCAUGUAUUGUAAUGUUCUUCUUGUCAAUCAGCGUGGGGG